GUACUGAGACACGGACCAGACUCCUACGGGAGGCAGCAGUGGGGAAUUUUCCGCAAUGGGCGAAAGCCUGACGGAGCAACGCCGCGUGAGGGAUGAAGGCCUCUGGGCUGUAAACCUCUUUUCUCAAGGAAGAAGAUCUGACGGUACUUGAGGAAUAAGCCACGGCUAAUUCCGUGCCAGCAGCCGCGGUAAUACGGGAGUGGCAAGCGUUAUCCGGAAUUAUUGGGCGUAAAGCGUCCGCAGGCGGCCUCGUAAGUCUGUCGUUAAAGCGUGGAGCUUAACUCCAUUUCAGCGAUGGAAACUGUGAGGCUAGAGUGUGGUAGGGGCAGAGGGAAUUCCCGGUGUAGCGGUGAAAUGCGUAGAUAUCGGGAAGAACACCAGUGGCGAAGGCGCUCUGCUGGGCCAUAACUGACGCUCAUGGACGAAAGCCAGGGGAGCGAAAGGGAUUAGAUACCCCUGUAGUCCUGGCCGUAAACGAUGAACACUAGGUGUCGGGGGAAUCGACCCCCUCGGUGUCGUAGCCAACGCGUUAAGUGUUCCGCCUGGGGAGUACGCACGCAAGUGUGAAACUCAAAGGAAUUGACGG
rnacentral:rRNA from 1 species